rnacentral:lncRNA from 1 species
CUAUCACCACGCCAACAUGGCAAUUCCAGGGCAGACAGCCAGGAUGGUGGACACCACAGGAUAAGAGUACACUGGAACAUCCCAAUAUGCAUCACAAAUGCAGUGAGCCAACGGAAGGUCAUAUUGGACUAGCAAUGAAUCAAAGUUCACUUCUAAAUGAUCAGACAAGGAUGUGUUUUUAGGAUGAAUAUCUGGGAAAUAUGAGAGAGAGAGAGAGAGAGAGAAUAACAACAAGAAUCUUGACAUCCGAAGUAUGAACUUCGGAGCAGGUGGCCUGUUAAGGGAGUCAUCUCCGGGGUGUCGAUGAAACUUGAGGUUUAGAUACCUAAGGAAGAGAAGAACAGGUGCGGUUAGUGCCCGUCGCCUGACCAGAAUGGUGAAUGGAGAGUCUGUCAGUUCUUUUUGUUUUUCUGACAAUGAACACCUCCCUACACAGUUUAAAGCUAGGCUAGUUAAGGUGUGUGAGGAAGCUGUAUUCUUAAGAUCGGAGAGAAGAAGAUAAGUGCUGCAGUUGUGGUGGAGAUCAUGAUCCAGUUAUUGGAGUGUCUUAUAAGUCUGUAUCAGAUCCGGCCGUGAUUGGGAGUCCCGUAGGGCGGCGCACAGUUGGCCCAGCGUCGUCCGGGUUUUGCCAUGGCAACGAAAAGAAGCACGUGACAAUGUUGAAGAUAUGGCCGCAGAUGCACCACAGUGAAUGUGUGCCAAGCAAGACAACAGGAUACUCUGUGUGUUUUAAAAAGGUGGAUUUUGUAGCGUUUAUUUGUAAAUGUUACCAACUGUACGGAAUGUAUCAAAGAAAUUUGAAAGACUUUGGACAUCGUUGUUGCUGCAAUUGAAAAGUAUCUGGGACUUCAGGACUUUACAACGGAAAAUCCAAAGGGGUAUCGGCAAUGGAAGAUGACAGUCUUUAGGCGUAUGGAUAUUUUCCCACCCCCACAAUGUUCCUUUUUUGGGAUCUUUGUUUUCAUCCCGCACAGUAGGUGGCGGCAAUACACCUUUUUGGGCGUAGUCUGCCAAUAAACCAAGAAGAACUGUGGAAAUCGGUGGAAAUGAUGCUUGUUUCUAUGUCCAUAGAUUAAGUGAUUGAGGCCAAAAGGAUGAUCAGUAGGAAAGAGGGUCAAAUAAAUGAAAGCUUCUCAGUGCUGCUGAGGUUUGAGAAGGUUGUGACUGCUACAGAUGGGAUUCCUUAGUUUUAAUGUCCAAGAAUUUGUACCAUCCAAAUGGUGGUGUUUUAAAUGCCAAAGAAUGGGAUAUGUAGCUUCUCAAUUUAAAGGAAAGUAAAGAUGUGCCAAGUGUGGAGGGGAACAUGAUUACUGUGAAUGUGAAAGCUAAAUGUUUUAAUUGUCGGGGGAACACAGUUCAGCAUUUGGUGGAUACCAGGUGCAGAGAAGCUAGAGAGGCCCAGAGAUCUAGAAUCACUCACAAUGUCUCUUAUGCAUAUGUAACAGGGCUGGUUAUGUUUCCACUUGACACUGCAGAAAUGUAUAUCCAAUGUUUAUGUAUUCCUAUUGAUUGGUUGAGUUUACAUAUCAAUAAGGUGUUGUGCCAUUGGUCAUACUUGAAGAUAGGGGGAGAUCGCCAACAUAAAUUCUUCCCAGUCUGAUAUUGAUGUAGGUCACGUUCUGAAAUACUGUAUUGUAUUUUCAUAUUUACAAUGUGUACGAGUUCACUAUGGACAUGUCCUGAUCUACCCCAUAAUGUUUAAGUGAAAUGAUGUUACUAGAAAAUGUUUGAAAUUCGUAAAAAAUGUAAAGCUGAAAUGUCUUGAGUGAAUAAUUAUUCAACCCCUUUGUUAUGGCAAGCCUAAGUAAAUUCAUGAGUAAACAUGUGCAUACCAAUUCACACAAUAAGUUGCAUGAACUCUGUGUUCAAUAAUAGUCGUUAGCAUGAUUUUUGAAUGACUACCUCAUCUCUG